UUGAGAGAGACAGAGAGAGCACUAGUGGGGGAGGGGCAAAAAGAGAGGGAGAGAGAGAAUCUCAAGCACCCUCCUUGAGGUCAGUGUGCAAAGCCUGAUGGGGGGCUUGAACUCACAAAACUUUGAGAUCAUGACCUGAGCCAAAAUCAAGAGUUGGAUGCUCAACCGACUGAGCCACCCAGGUGCCCUUAUGCUUCUGAACAUCAAGUGACACCAAAAGAGGGGAUUGUUAGGCUGGCAGUGUGAGUAAUGGACAGGAUGAGGAGACAAGGCAUGUGGACUAGGAGCCUUCUGUGACCAGGUGAGGUAACAAGAUGCUUGAUACAUAUUGAUCUGUUGUAUCAUUUACUGUACCUCCUGUAUGCCUCUUGCCUGGGUCUUGAGUUCUGUGUAUAAGCCUGUCUCCUUUACCAGGCUGUGAGCUCUUUGAGGGGAAGGACCAUGACUUUCAUCUUUGUGUCUUUAGUCCACAGUAGGUACUGUAGUACGACUUACUUGCACCAACAGGGCCAUGGUGGGGUAGGAGAGGACAGCUAGGGAAGACACUUUAGAUGCUGAUCGUGCUUGUUGACCAGUUGGAUGUGGAGCCCGAGGGUAUAGGAGGAGUCAAGGAAGACUCUGAGCACCAGGUCGGGGUGACUGGCAAUGGUGAGACCAUUAACCGAGAUAAGGUGCAUGGAAAGAAGGGGUCAGUGGAGCCAACACGUGGGGUUUGGUGUGCACAGUGGAAUUUGGAUGUGGAAAUGUUUGGAGGCAAUGGCAGCACCAAACUUAUGCUGACCUGCUAUGAAUUAGUCCACGAGAUUAAAAACAUGAACACUGGGAACUUAAAAAAAAUUACAUUCCUGAUUGAAUAAUGGCAUCUCUGGGUUUAGAAAGAUCUUUUAAAAUCAUCUAGCCCAGUUGUCUGUCAAACACUUUAAUCCUCUGUAGAACAUUCCUGCUGAGCGUCUUGUACUUUGGUCUCGGUUUGUGGGCUUUCUCCGUAUUUACAGUGUUUUUCCUUUUUGAUUGAUUCUUUGAACACUGUGGCCUCUUACUCUGUUCUAAGUUUCUCUGGGCUUUUCUGUCAUAACAGAUUUUUUUUUUUUUUUAUAACUAGCUGUUCAGAGAAACCUUCCAUUGGACAUUUAUUUACCUGGCUUGGGUGUUCAUAAUUUCAUCACUGGACAGUCUGAAAACAGAGUUUCUCUAAACUCUGUAAGAGAAGCUUUGGGUUAAUUGGGAAACAAGAGUUAAGAAUUGGGUUCGCUCACAGCAACUGCCUCUUCUUAGCCCAAAGGUUUCUACUGCUUUUGGAUUUUCUGACUCUUAGGGAAGCUGGAAGCAGACUGCCUGGGGGUGGAUAUUGGCUGCACUACCUACCAGCUGAGAGACAUUGGGCAGGUUAUUUAACCCUUUGGAGCCUUGGCUUCUUCUAGAAAAUGGAGAUACUCAUGGUGUUAAUCUCAUAGGGCUAUGGGAGGGUUAAUGUGAAAUGUUUGGGGGCACCUGAGUGGCUUAUCCGUUAAGCUUCUGACUCUUGAUUUCGGCUCAGGUCAUGAUCUCAUGGUCGUGAAAUUGAGCCCCUCAUUGGGCUCCACGCUGAGCAUGGAGCCUGCUUAAGAUUCUCUCUUUCUCUCUGUCUCUCUGUCUCUGUCUCUCUCUCCUUCUGUCUCAUGUCACUCACUUUCUCUCAAGAAAAACAAAAGUGAAAUGCUUAAAUGGCCUCUGCCGUGUAGUAAGUCUUUUUUUUUUUUUUAAUUUUUUAAUGUUUAUUUAAUUUUGAGAGAGAGAGAGCAUGAGCAGGGGAGGGGCAGAGAGAGAGAGGGAGACACAGAAUCCGAAGCAGGCUCCAGGCCCCGAGCUGUCAGCACAGAACCUGAUGCGGGGCUUGAACCCACGAACUGUGGGAUCAUGACCUGAGCCAAAGUCAGACGCUCAACCGACUGAGCCACCCAAGCACCCCCACCAUGUAGCAAGUCUUAAUAAAUAUUGGGUCCUAUUAUCCCUAUCUCAGGCACAUCCUCCCACACAAAGGAUAAUCACCACUAGGAGAAACAUCAAGAAAAUGAGGAAAGAUAACAGAGGCCAUCCUGGCCUCCUCUAAUGACAAAGCAAGGAAAUGACUAGACUCAGUGAGGUCUGAAUGUGAUGGAGAGGAAGCGUCCACACUGAGCCAAGAGCCCCUCAGUGCGCAGUUUUCCAGGGAGAGAAUUACAGGAAGACGCAGCUUCCGGCAUUUAGAAGUGAGAAUGUUUUCAUCAUCAUUGUAAGGCCGAUUUUAAAUAGUUUGGCUAAUUAGGUGGUGAUUAAAUUAUACUGCUCCCAUACGCUUGUGCUUUCUUCUCUGCAGAAUAUAUCUGCCCAAAAAGUUGUAGGUGAAUUAUAUGUUUGUAAAGGAAUGUUUUGAUUCUCUGCACAUAGUAAGCACUCAAAUGUAUUGAAUGGUUACCUAUUUUAUAAAGCUAGGAACAAUCAUAAUAAUAGCAGCUAAUAAGCUGAUAAGGAUUUACUUUGCACUUCACGGAAUUAUCUCAUUUAAUCCCACGAAGUUGGUAAUAUUAUUCUUUCCAACUAACUCUUGAAGAAAGCAAAGUCUAGAGGGCAAUGAAUUCUCGGUGUCAUCAAGAUCUCUCUGUCAUUUCUUUGUUUGCCUGUUUGGAUUUUUGUUGUUGGGUAUUCUUAGAAUGCACCUGCAGGAGAAGUGAUAGAAGUGACUUUCAAUACAGCUCUAAAUAGACGUGACUGCUAAAGAAUUAGGAGGAAUGGCAUAUGGCGAUGCUGAGGAUAGAGCCGUGGGCAUGGCGUGGGGACUGUCAGAGUAUGAUGGACGGAGGAGGCGUGGGGAGGAGGAAGAACCGGGAAGACUGGGCGGAAGCCACCCGUGAAGCAGACUCGCAGUGAGCCCUUGGGCAGAGCGGUCGUGGGCAAGCCUGAAUGACCCUGGCUCUUCUUCACCUAAGACAGUCCUGGCUCAUCAUAAAUGAACCCCAAUCAUCUGUCUGGCGUCAUCUGUUAUUUCCUCCUCCCAGGCCUACUUUCCCGAUGUGGUAAACUACCUCCUGUUGGCAAAAUGUACUGUUUCUUUCCACAUGUCUCUGUUUUUACUCAUGGUAUACCAGCUAUAUAAAAUGUCCUCUUUCAAGACCCAGCUGGUUAAUGUGCUAAAGCCACGACUUCUUUGAAUAUAGAUGAUCUCCAAUUCUUGUAAAAUUCUGCAAGAUAGGCUUAUUAUUUCCAUCUUGCAGAUGGAGAAACAGAGACUAAAUACUGAAGUCAGCAUUGCACAAGUAGAUCUAGGGCUAGCGGAUAGGUCUGCCUGAUUUUAAAGUCUGCUACUUUCUCCUUUUCCCGUGUCUGUAGAAAUUCCCAGUCACCUUUUGAGCUGCAGUCCUCAUGCCGUUUCCUCUGUGAAGCUUUAAUGGAAUUCCUCAGAUAAUUGCAUAUUUCUUUAUAGUCCUGUAACAUUCUGUACACAUUACAAAAACACGAUUUAUUAAGGUUGUAUUCUGAUUACACGUCCGUGUGGUUGUCUUGCUCCCCCAGUAUGGGCUUCCUAAAGACAGGAAGAGGGUAUGUCUUUAUAUAUCUUUAUAAUGGCACCAUCACUCUAUGUCUUCGCAUUGCUUGUCAUAUAAUAUGCCCUUAAUGAAUUAUUAUUGAAUUAGUGAAUAAAUUAAUUAAUGCUCAGGAGCUCAUCUGUGAAGCUGUGAGCUUCCUCCUCCUUGCCAGAUUAUUGAUUCUGUCCUAAGUCUGUUCCCUGUUGGCGUCCCACACGGGCGUGAUGAGCAUUAACCAGAUGGCUAGCCACAGAGAUGUCCACCCUUGGACUCAAAGCCUGCUUCCCAAGCCAGGGUGCUGGAGACGACUGGAGACCAUCCCAGGCCCUUGGCUAUCUGGUGGCCCCAGUGGAGGCAGCAGCAGCAAAUCCAAGAACGAAGUGAAACUCUGGAUUUAGCCUUCAGGAUCUGACCUGGGAGCAGAAGUCUUUGGUUUUCCCAAUGCAACCCAUUUUACAGCCUUUGCUGAGUCACUUCCCAUCAGCAUUACUCAAACAAAGAUGCGCAUUAGGUGCCGUGGCUGCUCUGGCUGAUGCGUUUUCCAAAUGUGUGCUGUAGCCAAAUGUCUGAGCCCCAUCCAAUCCACAGUUUAUGUUUUAAUACAAACAAAGUCACACAACCUCUCAGAGACUCACGUACGGUUCUUGUCAAUCAUUCCUUGCCCUCUCUGCCAGUCUGUGACCUACCGUCUUUCAGAUUCCAUCCACUCUCCACCUUCAAGACAUGAUGUGGCUUGUUUCCAGAAACUGAGAUGGUUGCAGAAUAAGCUGAGCCAGCCUCUGUCACCAAAAGGGUUAAUAUCCUCCCCCCAGGGACUGACCACAGCUGAGCUGCCACCCAGGUGCAGAUAGUGACAAGUUUAUACAACCAAAUGGUGCAACAGUGGGCACCCUGAGUCUUGAAGAGGCAUUUUCUCCAAUGUUCUGGUCUUAAUGUACAAUGGCAAGAAAUCAUUUAACUUUGAUUGUUGGUGUCGUUCUACCAGGAACACAGACUCCUUGCAAGAGUGACUUCUAUCUUGGCUUAUGCUGAUGGUCCCAAGUGUCACCCGGUUCCGUGAAAGAAGAAAGGAUGAAGGUGCAGAAAGCCAAUCUUUAAUGGAUCUGGAUGCGUUGUAUGCACCCCCACGCUAACCCUCCCAGCAGCUGUCAUCCCUACUGGACAGACGAGGUGAGAGGACCCAGAGAGGCUAAGCAGGCUGUCUGAGAUGGCAGACCCAGAGCUAACAGCUAGGAUGGACCCAAAUCCCACCACCUUUCCACAAGGAUUCACCAUCCUGAACCAGGAGAAGCAGCUAAAAACCCUGGAUUCCAGCCCCGGUGCCAUCUAGACAGAGAUCGCGUCAGAAUGGACCCUAGUGGAAAUUGAGCCUUUCAAAGUAAUGUCAACAUGAUACUGGCACCUGGCCUUGGGUCUCUUUACAAAGGAAAGGGGAGGAGCAAAUUCAGGUAAACACCAGGAGAGAGGUAAUCCCUGUCCUCUGUGGCUCCUAGCACUGACCUCCACCAAGGCCAGCCUAUAAGGGUUGGUGUCAAUGAUGUAAAGCUUGAAACUUGAUCCUUUCCCAGGGAACAGAAUGGGGGUGCGGUUCUUGAGAAACCAGACUGAAGAGAAAUUAGCCUUCACCAGCUGCUCCUGUAAUUGCAUUUAAAUUCAGUUAAACUAAUUUCUUACACUUGAUAAAAGCAGUUGCCUUUCCAAAUCAUCCUCAGACUCCUCCAUUCCAAACACAAUAUAAAUAUACCACGGCCUGGUUAGAGAGGUCCUUCCUUCUGGGCCUCUUUGUCACCUUACCUCUGUUCUUGGCCCUUCGCUGGGGCACAUUUUUUGUAAAGAGCUCAGAAAGCUGAACUGCCCUGUUAGCAUAAGAGUCUGUGACUCAUUGACUCACAGAUUGUAAAUCACACUCACAUGGGAUUUUAAUUAAUUAUAUUAAUUUUAGGGGAAACAACAAAACUGAAAAGUCUACAGUGCUUCAUUUACUGAGAAACUCUGAAAUGUCUUUUAUUUUUAGCAAGAGCCAUAAAAACAUCUCAUACUGAAAUAAUGCAAAAAUCAAGGAAGGGUUGUAUUACUCAGCGUGAUCGCGCCCUUUAAAAGGCUUUGACAUUUUCUUUAUUUUUGUAAGGUUUUUUAGAAAGAAAAAAAUAUAUAUUAUAUUACAUACACAUCUACACAUGCAUACGCUACCCAGAUCCUCUCUGCAAGAAUAUUCACUACUGACUGCAAUUUGGUGUAAGGUGGUUCUAUCUUAGACCCUCUCAAAGGGAGAUUAAUUACUAAAUUAUCAUAAAAAGCAUGCAAUUAGUUAUCUUCAUUUAAGAGACUGCCCCAUGGUAAGAGACUCUCAAAUACUUGUAUGCACAUACACACUUCAUUUGUUGUUUAUUAUUCAUUUGCAUUUAUUCAUUUAGUCAAGCUAAUAUAUAUCAGGGCCUACUAUGUGCCUGACACCUUGCAGGGGCUGACAGUACAAGGUGAACUUAAUAAGACCAGUCUGGAGGUGGAGGUGCAUAGGGUUCCACAUGGUUAAGCAGCAUCAUAGAAUCAAGGGUACAGGGCUGUGGGAACAAGGAGGGAGCAUCUGAGGGCAUCAGAGAGAAAGGGAAAGGACAGAGGGGCAGUGACAUAAAGGAAAGCCAAGAGUGAAGAUCUACAGGUUUUAGUUCAGGAAGUGACUCUUACCCGCCAUGUGUGUGUCAGACACUAGCCAGGUGCUGGGGAAGCCAGCAGUGAGCAAGCUAGACACAGCCACCCCUGUUUUGGAAUUUACAAUCUAAUUAGGAGACGUUAGUCGAAUAAUAACACAGGAAUAAAAUUGCUAUUUUGGUAAGAACCUUUAAGGAAAAAGUACAGGGGCUUUAAGAGUAUACACCAUGUAGCUAAGCUACAUGGUGAAAAUGAAGGUUGGCUUGCUUGAGAAAGUGACAAUAGAGCAGAGACCUGACAAAUUAACAGGCAUGGCCAGAGGAGGGACGGUGGGAAGAGUGUUCCAAGUAGAAGGAACAGAUAGGCAAAGCACUAUUAGAGAAAGCUUGGAAUUUUCUAGAAACCAGGAAGAAGUCAGAGUGAGUGGAACACAACAAGGGAUGAUGAGGUGGGAGGUGGGGAGGUUAGACCCUUCUAAGACCAAGGUCGGAGAGGUGGGCAGGGACAAGAAUAUACAAAAUUUGGGCUUUAAGCUAAAAGUAGUAGAAGCACAGUAACACACUAAAAAAAACCCCACCCACAAUUUCUUUAGGGAAGAGAGUUAUGAAUUUAAGUGCCUUACAUUGUACCAGAAGCUCAAGAAAAUCAGUUAUUGUCCCUCUUUCUGUACCCAGCUCAGGUCCUUGACUAGGCUAAUGCAUGUAUUCUGCACCUACAUGUUGGUCUCCAGUAGUAUAUUUUGUACUGUUGGUUCUGAUUUUGAUUUUUAACCCAGUUUGUCAACUUGUCUCCUGCCUCCAUGAUUAUUUAUGGUUUCUGCUAUGAUUAGCCAUCUGGAUGAUGGAAUAGCUCAUUCAUUCCAUGAUUCAUUCAACAAAUGCUUAUUGAAUAUCCCUGUUGUACAAUGAUUUAUCCCUCAUUGAACUUACAGUUUCACAAAGGUGUAAGAUACAUGCAUAAAAAUUAUAAUAUUGAAUGUUAUACUGGAGGCCCUAGACAGUGCAAAGGAAGGGCAAGAAAAACAACAACAGUAUGUUCAUAGGACAUCUAAAAUAACCUACAGAUAAAUUAUUAGAAUUAAUGAGGGAUUUUUCCGAGGUAGCUGGAUACAAUAGCAAUAUACAAAACUCAAUUGUAUUCCUAUAAAUCAGUAAAUAAUUAUGUAAAACAUGUGAAGCAAUUAAUAUAAGUAUGUUUUUAACAUAUGGAAGAUAUGCACAGACAAAAUUUUAACACUUUAUUGAGAGAUAUUAAAGAAAACCUAAACAAAUUGAAAAAUAUACCAUAUUCAUGGAUGAGAAGACCCAAUUUUGGAAGGAUACUAAUUUUCCCCAAGCUGAUUCAUGGAUUCCACGUAAUCUUAAUCCUAGCCAAAAUUCUAGCAAGGUGUUGGUAAAAUUUGAGAAGUUGAUUCUAAAAGUUAGAUGUAAACACAAAGAAUCUCUGACUCUUCUGAAGAAAACAAUGAAGUAGAAAGACUUGCUCUACCAGACACCAGAUUUGUUUUAAAUUGUAGUAAAGGCAGCAUAGUCUUGGCACAGAAUGGACAGAUGGACUAAUGGAACAGAAUAGAGAGAACAGAAAAAUGAUAAACACAUGUGUGGACAUUUGACAUAUGAAAAAGACGCAUGGCAGAUGAAUGAGGAGAGGAAGACAUUUUCAAUGAUGAAGUCCAGGUAGACUACAGAUCUAAGUGUAAAAGGUGAAACUAUAAGCUUUUAGAUGACAAUAUAGAAUAUUUUCACAUAAAAAUAUAUGCAAUGUCUUCUUAAACAAGAUCAGAAAGGAAAGAUACAUGAGUUUGGCUACAUUAAAAUUAAGAACUUGUAUUCACCAAAGGAUUCUAUACAAAUAAUAAAAGGUCAGACUGUAAAUUGGAAGAAGAUGUAAAUAUGUUAUGUUACAGAAUAUGUAAUAUAUGUGUCAAUAAAUUGAAAAUCUAUUUUAAAAACCUACUCCAUAUCAAUAAGAGAAACUCAAUUCAAUAGAAAAAUGGACAAAACCCAAUAAAUUACCAAAGAUGAAAUCCAAAUGGCCAAUACAUAAGUGUAAAAGCAUUUUAUGGGUAAUGAGGGAAAUGCAAAUUAAAACCACAAAGAGAUAACACUACGUACCCACGAGACUGGCAAGUAUUUAAAAGUUUGGCAAUACCAAGAUUGGAUAAGGUGUGUAAUAGUGAGAAGUCUCAAACACUGUGGAGUGGAAGGGAGGUGUAAGUUGGUACAACUACUUUGGAAAAGAAUUGUCAUUAUCCACUCCAUUUGGAGAUACGCAAAGAUAAGCUUAUAACUCUGUGCUUCCGUAUCACAUAUGUCCUAGAGAAACUCAUGUAUGUGUACACUUGGAUAAAUGUACCAGAAUGUUUAAGGCAGAAUUCCUGAUGAUAACUAAAAACUGGAAAUAAGCCAAAUGUUCUCUUACAAAGAAUGGAUAAAUAAGUAGGAUAUUCAUAAAAUGAGGACUGUAUAUCAAUAAAGAUAGAUGUAGCUAUUUGAAGCACAAAUGACUCUCAAACAGUGUUGAACAAAAGAUAAAAGGCAAAAGGAUACGAUGUGGAAUGAUUUCCAUUUGUGUAAAAUUUCCAGUCAUAAGGACAGGUAAAAUCAAACCAUAUUGUUUAUGGAGACAUGCCAAAGUGGUAAAACUAUCAAGUAAGGCCCAAAAAGAAUGAUCACAGAAGUCAGAACAAAAGUGGCUUCCAGGGUAGAGGGACAGGGAUAUGCCUGGAGAAGGUACCUGGAAGGCUUCCAGAUGGCUGGCCACAUUCUAAUUCUCGACCCAGGGGGUGGUUACAGUAGGUUCAUGUUACUAUUAUUUGUAAAACUGUACACAGGUCUUUAAGAUAUUUUUCUGAAUGAAUAUUAUAUAUCCAAACCAAAAUUAUUUUGUGAAUUGCAUGUAUGAUUACAGUUUUCCUGUGGAUUUCCAGUCUUCUGGAAUCACUCUUCUCUUUAAUAUCCAAGUAAGAAUAAUGCAUCUCCAUCAUGUGUGACUGUGAUUUAGUGUGGCUGUGACUAGUCCCUAUCAUCAUGAAAUGCUUGUUAGUUUCCUGAUUAUUUUAAAUGGCCUCUCACUCUAAACUGCUGUCCCAGGCUGCACCUGGCCCACCUAACCAUUG